AUACGUCGGGGGCGAGCGUUGUCCGGAAUGAUUGGGCGUAAAGGGCGCGUAGGCGGCUUUGCAAGUCAGUAGUGGAAGUCCAUUUUUCAAGGAUGGAAGUGCUACAGAAACUGCGGAGCUUGAGUGCAGGAGAGGUUAUCGGAAUUCCCGGUGUAGCGGUGAAAUGCGUAGAGAUCGGGAGGAACACCAGUGGCGAAGGCGGGUAACUGGACUGCAACUGACGCUGAGGCGCGAAAGUGUGGGGAGCAAACAGGAUUAGAUACCCUGGUAGUCCACACUGUAAACGAUGAAUGCUAGGUGUAGGAGGUAUCGACCCCUUCUGUGCCGCAGUAAACACAGUAAGCAUUCCGCCUGGGGAGUACGGUCGCAAGAUUAAAACUCAAAUGAAUUGGCGGGG
rnacentral:rRNA from 1 species